rnacentral:misc_RNA from 1 species
GGCCAAAGGCCCUUUUCAGGGCCACCCA